rnacentral:rRNA from 1 species
GAUGAACGCUGGCGGCGUGCCUAAUACAUGCAAGUCGAGCGGACGGACGCGGCGCUUGCUUUUCUGAUGUUAGCGGCGGGCGUGUGAGUAACACGUGGAUAACCUACCUAUAAGACUGGGAUAACUUCGGGAAACCGGAGCUUAUACCGGAUAAUAUUUUGAACCGCAUGGUUCAAUAGUGAAAGACGGUCUUGCUGUCACUUCUCGCUGGAUCCGGGCUGCAUUAGCUAGUUGGUAAGGUAACGGCUUACCAAGGCAACGCGGCGUAGCCGACCUGAUAGGGGGAUCGGCCACACUGGAACGGAGACGCGGUCCUGGCGCCUACGGGAGGCAGCAGAAGGGAACGUGAGGCAGUGGGGGGAAGCCUGACGGAGCAAGGCCGCGUGUGAGAUGGAGGCCUUCGGAGCGUGAAGCUCGGUUAUGGGGGAAGAACAUAUGUGUAAGGAAAUGAGGCCUGCGUGACGGUACCGAGUAAGAAAGCAACGGCUAACUACGUG